GACAGAGGCCACAAGCGUUAGGCGGAAUCACUGGGCUUAAAGCGUGUGUAGGCGGAUCGUUAAGUGCCUUGUGAAAUCCCACGGCUCACCCGUGGAACGGCUGGGCAUACUGGCGGUCUUGAGCCAUCUAGGGGCGACUGGAACAAACGGUGGAGCGGUGAAAUGCGUAGAUAUCGUUUGGAACGCCAACGGUGAAAACAGGUCGCUGGGGAUGUGCUGACGCUGAGACACGAAAGCCAGGGGAGCAAACGGGAUUAGAUACCCCGGUAGUCCUGGCCCUAAACGAUGUCCACUAGAUCGCAGUGCCUCUGACGGUAUUGCGGUCGAAGCCAAAGUGCUAAGUGGACCGCCUGGGAAGUACGGUCGCGAGGCUAAA
rnacentral:rRNA from 1 species